UGUGGGUAAUUUUUGAAAAAUUGUCUCAAUAAAUAGUUUAUUAAUAUGCAACUGUCACUAGUUGAAAUACACAAAUGUGCAUCAACAAAUGGGCACCGAUGUUCGAAAAACAAUGCAUAAAACAUAAGUCUAGACCCAAAAAAAUUAAAAAUCAGCUUAAAUUAAAUUAAAACUGGUGCCCUUAAUCCCAAAAACAUUAAAAAAAACUCGCUUCACUUCUCUUAGAUCUCUAACCCUCUUUCCCUUUAUCUCUGAUCUCUCUCGCUCUCUAUCUCUUUCUCUUUCAUUCACCCCUUCCACCGCCGACGACCACUCUAUCUCUCUAUUUUUUACUCCACUUCUCAUUCCCUCUCCUCUGCUCGUGGUCCACAUUUUCUCACUCCUCGUUUCUCUCUGAUACCUCAAAGUCUCCAGAUCUACUUGCCGCAAUGAAUUGAAGUGCUGGUUAUUCAUCAUCUUCAAGAGGCAUGUCGAUUCUUCUCCUAGUUUUCAUACCCCUGGAUUCUUGAUUGAGGCAUACAGAUUGACGGCCUUGGAAUCAAGAGUUUCAUGACAUAUGAAAGCAAUGUCCUCUUUGAUUUCCGUUUCAUGAUUGAUUGUAAUGUUGUUGGUGGGAACUAAAUUGAGGUUCCUGUUGGAAAAUUUAGGGCGACUGGCAAAAACUUGUCCUCUUGCCAGCUGGAAUUUGAUUGAUUGUAUCCUCUUUAUUUAAAUUUCUUUUCCUGAUUUAGGUUUCUUACUUAUGAAUGUUAGGUCCAUUAUCAUGUUAAACUUUGGUAUACCGUACUUUUUCAUUGUUGCAGAAACAUUAUAUUGUUGCAUUAAUGAAGGAAGUUGAAAAGAAGCAUGCUAAGAGUUGAAGCUAUGCAAAAAAAUUACAAGGAUAAAAGACAACAAGAUAGAAGGGAAAUGGCAAAUGGUCUUCGCUCCAUCUUUUCUCAACUUCAGCAACAAAAUCCUCAAAUGUAUUUUGAUCUAAGCAUGUUUGGCUCUUUCUUUUUUGAUAAUAAAUCUGAGAAGGAUGGUAAUUUGACAGAGAUGCUUUAACUUCAUUCUUUAUCUUCUACAUCCAAGAAGGGAUUGAAUAUUAUGGAAAGUGAGCAAGAAGAUAGAAGAUGAAGAAGGCAGCAAGUAGAAAGAAGAAUGUGAUGGCAUCGAUCAAUUUGAAUUUUCUUUAAAUUCUUCAUUGUUAUUUAUCAUUUGGACACAUUUUUUUCUUCAAUUUAUUAGCUAGACUAAAAUUAUGCCUGCAAUAUAUACUCUAAAACAGGUUAUUGAGAUGUAUUUGUCUUAAAAACAUGUUGAUAUUGUUUUUUUUUGUUUUUUUUAUUAUUACAAAUUUACUACUUUUGAAUUAUUUA